GGAGAGAAUAAAGACGCCUCUUAAACCGGAAUGCUGAGGGACCGGUUUAAUGUAAAUAAGAGGCGCCAGAGUCCGCCACUGGUGCACUUGGGCACCAGGUCCCUACCUGGAUCUACUCUGCGCUCACCCCUUGGGAAUGCGGGACAUGAUCUGAUGGAGUUUGCUGGAUGUCCACUCCAGACCCUGUUUUCCUGGGUAUCACCAGCGGAGGCUGCAGAAUAGCAAAGAUUGCCGCCUGUUCCUUCCUCUGGAAGCUUCCUCCCAGAGGGACACCUGCCAGAUGCCAGCUGGACAUCUAAUGUAUGAAUUCAACCAGUAUAAUAGACAUUCAACGCAGUCAGUCUAAUGAAA
rnacentral:lncRNA from 1 species